rnacentral:rRNA from 1 species
UGUAAGCGUAUACCAAAGUUGUUGCAGUUAAAACGCUCGUAGUCGGAAUUUGGCAGUUCCGGAAGUGUGCACGUCGUGUGCGCACUUUGCGGGGACUGCUUUUGUGGUCUUGCGUAGGAUGAGGCACUUUCAUUAGUGAACGUCCUCACGCAACCACUCUUUACUGUGAGAAAAUCAGAGUGCUCAAAGCAGGCAUUUGCCGUGAAUGUAUUAGCAUGGAAUAAUAGAAUAGGACUCGGUUCUAUUGUGUUGGUUUGUUGGGACUGAGUAAUGAUUAAGAGGGACAGUUGGGGGCAUUUGUAUUCCGGCGCUAGAGGUGAAAUUCUUAGAUUGCCGGAAGACAAACUGCUGCGAAAGCGUCUGCCAAGGAUGUUUUCAUUGA